UUACAUCUGGCGCCGGGUUCAGGGUGACCACGAAUGCUCUGACCCCAGGUGGAGACUCACAGUUGUACCUCCGUGAGUUUAAACUCACCACUUACCCUAAUCGGAUGCGUUCGGAGGUGUAGUUUUUGUCAGUGGAGAGGCCUCGCGGUCUUCC
rnacentral:snRNA from 15 species